rnacentral:rRNA from 1 species
UACGGGGGGGGCAAGCGUUGUUCGGAAUUACUGGGCGUAAAGGGCUCGUAGGCGGCCAACUAAGUCAGACGUGAAAUCCCUCGGCUUAACCGGGGAACUGCGUCCGAUACUGGAUGGCUUGAGUUUGGGAGAGGGAUGCGGAAUUCCAGGUGUAGCGGUGAAAUGCGUAGAUAUCUGGAGGAACACCGGUGGCGAAGGCGGCAUCCUGGACCAACACUGACGCUGAUGAGCGAAAGCCAGGGGAGCAAAGCGGG